AACCGUUUAGGGGUAAACCUGAGAAACCCGAAAGGUCGAAGGAAGAAAUUCAGUCGUGUAUCGCUAUUGGCGGGAUUGUAUAUUUGUUAGACGAUGAAUAAGUCUUAGUCGUCUUUAUUGAUGAUUAUUGAUUUGUUGGUCGCUACAUAUUUAUUCCGAUACCAAUGGUGAUGGCGUGCAUUUUUCUUCUGGUAGGACGUUGCGAUCCGUUGAGAUGUGUAUAUCGGUCUAAGACGAUUUGCGGAAGAGUUCAUUAAUACAUGUAUGGAUCACCGUAUAUGUUUAUUAUUAAUGAAUCCGUUUGUGAUCUGGCCGAUUUGCUCGACGGUAUUAUUAAUGGUUAAAGGUCGCUAUUUUAAUUAGCGUUAGAGGCAAGGCAAGUAUGUCAAUUUGUGUAAAAACAUUGUUAUUAUUAUUAUAAUGAUAAUGAUAAUGUUCUCGGUAAUCGGUAUUUAUUAUCAAUUCCGAGCCUUUGGCAUACUGUUGGUCGAGCAUAUCUCUUACACCGACCUUAUUAUUUUGAAUAAAACUAAUCGGCGACGCUAUAGCUUUGGGUACUUUCAGGA
rnacentral:rRNA from 1 species